rnacentral:tRNA from 1 species
ACUAACGUGGUGUAACGGGUAAACACAUGCGGUCGCCAACUGCAAGCUGCUGGUUCAAUCCCAGUCGUUAGUU